ACGGUUAAGCCGGCUUCGGCCGGGAAUACAGUGGCGAACGGGUGAGUAACACGUGACCAACCUGCCCCCCGCUCCGGGACAACCGCUGGAAACGGCGGCUAAUACCGGGUACUCCGCGGGCCCCGCAUGGGGCCGGCGGGAAAGCCCAGGCGGCGGGGGAUGGGGUCGCGGCCCAUUAGGUAGUAGGCGGGGUAGAGGCCCACCUAGCCGACGAUGGGUAGCCGGACUGAGAGGUCGACCGGCCACAUUGGGACUGAGAUACGGCCCAGACUCCUACGGGAGGCAGCAGUGGGGAAUUUUGCGCAAUGGGGGAAACCCUGACGCAGCAACGCCGCGUGCGGGACGAAGGCCCUCGGGCUGUAAACCGCUUUCAGCAGGGAAGACAAAAGACGGUACCUGCAGAAGAAGCUCCGGCUAACUACGUGCCAGCAGCCGCGGUAAUACGUAGGGGGCGAGCGUUAUCCGGAUUCAUUGGGCGUAAAGCGCGCGUAGGCGGCCGCCUAAGCGGAACCUCUAACCCCGGGGCUCAACCUCGGGCCGGGUUCCGGACUGGGCGGCUCGAGUGCGGUAGAGGAGAGGGGAAUUCCCGGUGUAGCGGUGGAAUGCGCAGAUAUCGGGAGGAACACCCAAGGGCGAAGGCAGCUCUCUGGGCCGUCACUGACGCUGAGGCGCGAAAGCUGGGGGAGCGAACAGGAUUAGAUACCCUGGUAGUCCCAGCCGUAAACGAUGGACGCUAGGUGUGGGGGGACCUGCCCUCCGUGCCGCAGCCAACGCAUUAAGCGUCCCGCCUGGGGAGUACGGCCGCAAGGCUAAAACUCAAAGGAAUUGACGGGGGCCCGCACAAGCAGCGGAGCAUGUGGCUUAAUUCGAAGCAACGCGAAGAACCUUACCAGGGCUUGACAUGCGAGUGAAGCCGGGGAGACCCGGUGGCCGAGAGGAGCUCGCGCAGGUGGUGCAUGGCUGUCGUCAGCUCGUGUCGUGAGAUGUUGGGUUAAGUCCCGCAACGAGCGCAACCCCCGUCCCGCGUUGCCAGCAUUAGGUUGGGGACUCGCGGGAGACUGCCGGCGUCAAGCCGGAGGAGGGUGGGGACGACGUCAAGUCAUCAUGCCCCUUAUGCCCUGGGCCGCACACGUGCUACAAUGGCCGGUACAGAGGGUUGCCACCCCGCGAGGGGGAGCGGAUCCCGGAAAGCCGGCCCCAGUUCGGAUCGCAGGCUGCAACCCGCCUGCGUGAAGCCGGAGUUGCUAGUAAUC
rnacentral:rRNA from 1 species